rnacentral:misc_RNA from 1 species
UGUGAAGCACAGGAGACUCAGG